AUUCCUCUUGUCGGCUGCGUGCCCUCAUCUAACUAUCAAUCCACAUGAUCAUGCAUGUGUCGUCAUGUGCGAUGUGAGGUGGUAGUACUUGGGUAGCUGCCGCUAAGCUUCCUCCAGUCCAACUCGGAUUAGAUUACUCUGCUCCAAAUACAAGAACUUGGCACAGCACGCAAGAGAAAGAGAUGCCCUGCUUGGUCACCUGCCUACGCCGAAUUUCUCUGUUUGAUCUGCUGCUCACUGCCAUUACGACACGGCAAGUUGGAGGCACGCAGAACAAACCACACACCCUGGCCUGUAACUGCAGCAGCAGACAAAGAGGACGGGAGCUCUGAAUCAAAUAUAUAUAUAUUAUCACAUGCAGCACGGUGAAUGAUGCAUGCAAGCAAACUUUAUUUUAGGAGGCAGAGAGCAUCUUCGUUGUAUUGGUACAUUGUAUCGCGCGCGCCUGCAAUUUCCUUGUUGCAGCUUGCAUUGUCAGCAGAGAGCUACGUAUGAGUUGAAACAGAGAGACAUGAAUGAAACUGCAAUUUUGCAGAAAUAUGAAACUGCAAUUUUGCAGAAAUAUUGCAGCAGGCACUUGACUAUGAAUGAAACUGUAAUUUUGCACAGACUGCAGAAGUGCAGAAGGCACUUGAAAAGUUUUAAGAAGAAGCUAACUAGCUAGGUAGCAGUCUUGCAUGCUCCCAACUAAGUCGCAAUGUCCCAUCUCAACCAGCUCGAUCUGUUUCCUUACGUUUACAGAUGAAACUAAGUAUCAGAAGCCACUGCAUAUAUGUCCUUGUUUAUUUGUUCUAGUACAUAUAUCUUGUUGUUCAUCAGGAACUCCGACCCUUGAUCAGAUAGAUGCAACGAACUCGAUGCAGUUUGAUCUCGGCCCAUGCUUGCUUGCAGAGUUCUCAUUAUGGUCUCCUUUUACGUACCUUGCAAAAAACAUGGACAAACAAAUGAAGAAAAAGGUAAGUGGUACAUGUACAUAGAUACAAGGAUCGGAGGAGAUCAGAAGAAGAGGAAAUCAGUAGACCAUGCACAGUAUGUAGCACACAAGUACACAUUGCAACAUACUGACUACAGAUAGGUAGGCAGGUAGGUAGCCAAUGCAAGAAUCAACCAAUUGCAACUAAUAAUGCAGAAACGGCACAGCUAGCGUUAUUGGUGUAUGCAGAUCAGCAGAUGUAUCCUGUGUAGGAAUAUAAUGAGCAGGUAGCAGAUGCAUGGCUGCAUUACAUCACCUGAUGAGCCCUGAGAGCAGAAUAUAAUGCUGGCUGAUGCAUGAUGGUGUAGACUGCUGUAUCGAUCAAGAGCAUGCAGCAGCCAGGGCUAGCUUCCCUGUUGCCUGCUGCGUGGUAUGUGUUUGGAAUCGCCAUGGAUGGAUCGGCGAUGUCAAAUGCUUUCUCUUGCCUUGGUAGCAAGUAAGG
rnacentral:lncRNA from 1 species